GACGAACGCUGGCGGCGUGCUUAACACAUGCAAGUCGAACGGAAAGGCCCUGCUUUUGUGGGGUGCUCGAGUGGCGAACGGGUGAGUAACACGUGAGUAACCUGCCCUUGACUUUGGGAUAACUUCAGGAAACUGGGGCUAAUACCGGAUAGGAGCUCCUGCUGCAUGGUGGGGGUUGGAAAGUUUCGGCGGUUGGGGAUGGACUCGCGGCUUAUCAGCUUGUUGGUGGGGUAGUGGCUUACCAAGGCUUUGACGGGUAGCCGGCCUGAGAGGGUGACCGGCCACAUUGGGACUGAGAUACGGCCCGGACUCCUACGGGAGGCAACAGUGGGGAAUAUUGCACAAUGGGAGGAAGCCUGAUGCAGCAACGCCGCGUGCGGGAGGACGGCCUUCGGGUUGUAAACCGCUUUCGCCUGUGACGAAGCGUGAGUGACGGUAAUGGGAAAAGAAGCACCGGCUAACUACGU
rnacentral:rRNA from 1 species